rnacentral:tRNA from 1 species
AUGGGCCGUCUGCCCGGCGGGCUGGCGAUUUCCAACAUUGCCGCGUGCUCGGUAUUCGCUGCGCUGUCCGGUUCGUCUCCGGCAACCUGUGC